UGGUCAAGACAUACAGUUACAUUGAGGGCGAUGAUCUUCCGAACACAAACUGAGAUAUUUUUGAUAAAAUCUGAUUGUUCAGUGAGGCCUGCAUCGCCAGCAAUAACACUCCCUUUCUCAAUGCCCUUAAAGCUACUAAAAACAUAUUUAAAACAGUUCAUGUUACUACAGUGGUUCAACCUUAAUAUUAUAAAGCGAUGAGAAUACUUUUUGUGCAUUUUUGUGAAUCAGUGGUUCGGAUUGUGUAUCACACUGCCAAAGUCACAUGAACUAUUGGAAACACUUAUGACGUAACAAAGCCUCAUUUACUGAAAUCAUGGGAUUUUGGUGCUCUGAACCACUGAUUUGAAACAAAUGAUUCGUAAACCUUCGAAGCUUCAUGAAGCAGUGUUUUGAAAUCGCCCAUCACUAGAUAUUGUUGAAUAAAGUCGCUAUUUUGUUAUUUUUGGUGCACAAAAAGUAUUCUCUAGUUGCUUUAUAAUAUUAAAGGUGCAAAAACCACUAGGCCAGUGUUAUAUAUUUUGGUCACUUGAGUACUUACAAUAUAUCAAAUGUUUCCAACUAUUUGUAAAUCGUGAGAAAAUUGCCAUUUUAACCAAGGCUCUGGGACGUGUGAGAAGUCGCCUGUCAAUUGCGUCAUACCCGCGUUACCCCUCUUUCUGCCUCGGUUUCCGGUUUUAUUUUGAAACCAUGGAAACACCAAAAACUCUUUAAUAUUUACAUGUUUUAAUAGACAAAGCAACAACUGUUUUGAUAUAGACAGAAAAUUAAUUGUUGUUAUAUAGCGCAACACAUUUAGUCAUUUUCUUGAUUUUUUGCGAGUACCAUGCUUUACAAUGCCUCAGAGAAAAACACUAUUUUGUCAAGUAGCUAACAUAGCAUAAUCAGAUGCAGCUUUAUUUUUAAUAACAGUAAUACAGAAUUUUCUCCAUCAUACAAUACGUUUUAAAAUUAAUUACAUUCCAUUUAUCAACACAAGCCAUCCAGCAUUUAAUAUGAUAUUCUAAAAAUCGAUCUAGCUUAUUGCAGUGCGUCUCAAACAAGUGUCUCACAGCAGCCACCGAGCGAACGCACAGAGUAACGUUAUAACAUCAUUUUCAACACUCUCAAAUGUAUCUAAUAUGAUAAACAGAGCUGCAUUACCUCAUACUCAUGACCAGAAAAGCGGAAGCGGCGCCGGUGACUGUGGCAUAAUAAAGGUUUCGCUGUUCGUGAGGCGUGUGUUGCGCAAUCGCUCCAGCGGCCUCGUUCAGCUCCCACGACACUCGGUCCUGCUCUGCUUCAUACUACAAUAACGUUAAUAAUCGCAUCCAUGAACAUGAUUUCUUCCCGAGUCCUAUCCCUAUUCUUUUGCACCGUCCGUUGAGGUGAAGACCACAUGUCCCAAGAUCCCACGCUCAAACUUGGCGUCAUCAAGCUACGCCUUUGUUUUGAAUAGGCCUCUAGCGGACAAAAUUUUUACAUAUUGCACCUUUAAGGUUGAACCACUGUAGUCACAUGAACUGUUUUAAAUAUGUUUUUAGUAGCUUUCUGGGCAUUGAAAAAGGAAGUGUUAUUGCUGGCGAUGCAGGCCUCACUGAGCCAUCGGAUUUCAUCAAAAAUAUCUUAAUUUGUGUUCUGAAGACGAACGAAGGUCUUACAGGUGUGGAACGACAUGAGGGUGAGUAAUUAAUGACAGAAUUUUCAUUUCUGGGUGAACUAACCCUUUAAUAAAAGGGUACAUAAAUGUUCAACCAUGUUUUUAUUAAAGAACUAAUAAAAAGAAAAUGGCUGCAAUGAACUCUAAAUAAACACGUUUUUAUAGCAAACAGAUAGGCUACUGCACAGCUCUCACUGCAUACUAUGGAAACUGUUUCCACCACGGAAUAAAAAUAAUAAGGUAGUUGCGAUUUUUUAAUCUCACAAUUUUGACUUUUUCCUCGCAAUUCCGAGUUUAUAUCUAACAAAUUGCAAUUGCGAGGGGGAAAAGUCAAAAUUGUGAGCUAAAAAGUUUUUUUCAAUUACCUCAUUCAUUCAUGGCGGAAAGAGCGUUUAUACGAUUCUGAUUGGUCAGUAAUCCAGUGUUAACCGUUCCUGCUCUAUCCCUGAUCGUGGUCGGAGAUAACAGGGGAGACUUUCACUGCUCCAGGGCCGAAGUAGCUUUCUAUUUAAACUUCGGGGUUAACUCCCUUUCCCUUCGUUCAGCGGCUAUAGUGAGUAAACAAAUUACAACUUGAUUUGGUCAGAAGAUUUAUUGUUUACUAUAGUUGAACGGCAAUUAACAGUACAGCCAUAUAACAGUGCUCCGGUCGCAACAACACGUUCGCUCUGCCCUCCCUCUCACUCUUCUCUAAAAACAAAACAGAAACUGCUAUUAAAGGGCCCGCACCGUUUUACAACACCAGUGAUCUGAUGGUGCGAUCCAGAUAAACAGAUGAACUCUUCUGGGUUCAUCUCAGCCAGCUCCUUAGGUCAUGAAUCAGUAUUGUGUACACGAAUACGGGUGCUUGUGAUUAAAUGGAAAAGCUUUAAGAAGUGAAAAAUUCAACUAUAUCAAACCGCUCGGCCGGUGUCACGAACAAUUGGGUCCGACGGUCAAAUGGAUCCACCAAGGAUAGCCGACGAUUUCAAAUGUAUAAGUCUGAAACAAAUGGGCCAGUGACUCACAAGGGACACGGCAUGCCAUUAAACUCAGAUGUGUGGAAGCAGAUGAUGGCUGAUUAAUGCUGAGAAUUUAAAGUGCUUGCACUUUUCUUUUAUAGAUGUCAGUGAGGGCAGCAGAGGCAGAUCAAAUCAUUUUUAGAGGCUUUGGGAGGUCAGCCGGGACACUCUUCCGGGUGAGACGAGGGGAGUAAGUUUCUAAUGGCGUCUUCAAUGCAGCGUGGAAGACGUCGGGUCAGGAUGUUCGUUAACAGUAUCACUGCAAAGGGACAGUCCAUCUGGAAUAACCAGGGUUAAAUGCUUUACACAAGGGCACUGAUUUUACGGCAGCAAUCAGAAACCUGUACCUGCUUUCAGAUCGGACACUGCUCAGGUAGCUCCUACAGCCAGCACUUCUAUUCUGAGAGGGGAUAUCACUGGCACUGUAGUAAGACCUUCCAUCACUCGAGAGCGAACGGUUCAUCUGCCUUCUGGAACUCAUCUUCUUAAUCUGUAAGUCUUCACAUUCACAAAGUCAGCUGCUUGUAUCCAACAUUAUUAAAACCUGUCAACAUUAAACCGCAAAAGUGUUUGUUUUCCUUAACUUCCCAAAGUUAAGAGCUCCAGCAAAAAUCUUCUGUCAUCACAGCCAGCAUCCCAGCAGUAGAUUUCACACUGGUUUUUGUCUUUACUUUGACACUCAGGGGUACGCUCUGCAAGCUCAGUGUUUUCUUUCUGUGCUGUUGGACUCCUGGGGUGGUGCACGGUGGCAUAAGACUCUGCUGUUUCCAAUCAGUCUGCAGCUUGCGUGGCCAUGAAGGCUAAUUAUAGCAGGGCCACAAAUAGGCACACAAGCACAUCACAUUUUCCAAAACCGACUUACUAGCUUUAUUUUUUAACUAAAACAUCAUUAUCUUGCUGAAAUCUAUGAUAGAAGUCCCUAUUAUGUUUUUCGAGCUCAGUACAGGACCAACACCACAAGCGUAAGCAGGGAAAUUGCAUACCCUCCAUGAUGGAAAUAUGGACUGCUCUCCUUCGUGUUCGGGGAACACUACUCUGUCGUGGGCCAUGAGUGAUGGAGGGACAACUCCUACUGGGGACCAUCCCAGCCCUGAACCCACAAAAAGAUGCAACAUAUCAAUUGACAUACUGUCAAGUACAGUAAAACUGUUAAGAAAACAAGUCAGUGUUGAGAAGACUCACCUGUGGAUCUCUGGAGGCUCUCGUCUGAUUUUGGCACUCUGUUCCAUCACUUCCUUGGCUACUUUACCACUUUAAGGCAAAUUAUGCAACCAAAAUAUUAGUGUCGCUUACAGCGAAUCCAUUAAUAAGCAUAUAUUCACAACACAAGCCUAAUUAAGCAGGGCUCACAAACUCAUGGGAUUCACUUAAUAACCACCAGAGCAGAUACUGCUCACCUAUAUCUAAAGCGGCUUCCUUUGAAGAAAAGAUUACUACUGGACACAGUGCGAACUUGACUUGAUUUCUCAAACCUGUAAGAAAUGGAGAGAAGGAGAGAGAUAGAUUAAAAAAAAAAUUAAGAAAAUAACUUUGUCUAAACCAGUGGUUUUCAACCUUUUUGACUCGAAGGCCCCCCAUUGUCCAACAUAAUAUCGGAGGUCCCCCAUACUGUCUAAGAUAUUUCCUCUCAUAUUUAUGCUCUAAUUAUGACAGUUAAGCCCUUGAUCUCUUGGAGCUGAUUUAUUAUUUACAGUUUUCCUAUGAAUUUGUUUUAUGUACCAUUCUAUAGGCCUACAUGCUUGGGCUAUUGAAACAAAAUAUUAAAAAUUACACAAAUGAAAAUGAUAACAAUACAAUAAACUAUAACUGUGUUUAAAAAAAAAAAAAAAAAAAACAGUCAGCUUAAGGUAACUACAAAUAUUAUGCGGUUAAAGGUCAAAAUAACUAAUAUCAUACACUAGAGUUCUGUGGGGUGGGUAAAUUAAGCAUGACCUACUGUAACCUCACAAUUGUGUUGCAUUGUGGAUCUGCCUGAAAUGUACAUAUUGAUUAGGCUUGCUCCCGUCUGUCAAAAUCGAGGGGUCGAGGGUCUGUCCAAAUAAACUUCCCAUGCCCACUUGAAGUUAAACGCACUUCAAAAUGGUGGUGGGGAUUCCCCCAAGGGGAAGUGCUUAGGGAAGUUCACGAGUGUUAGGCUGGAUCCCAAAUGGCACUCUAAACCCUCACGGUCUUCCUCUGAGUCCGCACUUUUGUGACGUAAUGCCACUUUGACUGCCGGGUAAAGUCCUCUGCGUAGCUCGCAAACUUGCGGGCUCAGCUGAAGUGCGCAUUGAGGGCGUAUAGUGGCCGCAAAGGGGACAACACAUUCAUUGGAAACCAAAAAUAUGUUUACUCUUUGAAUUGUUGCACCCGGGAACAAUACAAGUUGACACCAUUAUGACAAAGUUUUGACUAAAAGUUUUCCUAUAGGAAAACUUCAACACCCAUAAUGCACUGGGCAAACUCAAACCCUAACACUCAAAAUAAUUAAUUGGUUUGAGUAGGACACACUUAAAUUAAACAAAUGAGCUCAGUUCAGUCAAAUUAAUUUUAUGAGCAUUUAGCACUUUCUUUUUCUUUCAAGUUCACAGAACUGAUAUAUUUUAAGUAAACUGAACUGUUUCAUUGCUUUGAGUUUUAUGAACGUAUAUAUCUUUUAAUUAAUUAAUUAGACGAACUUAAGUUUAACUGAAACUGAACUGAACUGAUUUCUAUUUUCCAGCAUACUUUGCCCGUGGCACUCGAAAGCAGUAGCCCCUCACUGCAGAACACACGAGAUCCAGUGGGCGGAGACGGGUAGGUUAAGGGAUCUGUAAAGUGGGAGGAGUUGGAUCUAGAUCCAGGGGAUGGAGAUGGGUAGGUUUAGGGAUAUGUAAAGUGGAUCUCAUGUUCUGCAAUGAGGACCAUCUCCUCAAAAAGGCGAGUAAAUUAUAAAAUUAAAUGUUAUAUAAUGUUUUUUGUGCAAGAUUAAUGUUAAGUGGGAGAUUUAGUAGUGAUUAAUUUUGUUUUUGUUAUGCUAAUUUGGAAGAGUUUCUGUUAAUGUGGGUUUUUGGACAGUUGGACGUUAAAUGCUUUAUGUUGCUGCACUCAUUCAGCAAGUGCUAUUCCAUGCUAUUGUUAACAUGUUAGCAAAUUAGCAAGUUAACAUUUUCUGAAUUAGCUUGUUAUAGCUACAGUAUGUUUACACUUAUAAAAAUGUCCACAUUGAGGUUACAUGAAAAUUUGAAGUUAAAUGUAUGAAUUAGUGUACUCAAACUUUCAAAGUUAAGAACAAUUAAAAUGUAUGAGUACAAAAUAAAAAUUUGCUAGUUCUGCUUACUUAAACUUUUAAUUUCUCAACUUGAACAUUUUUUUUAUGGCAACUAAUUUGCCUCAAAUUUUUUGAGUUUUGCCAACUUAUUCGGGUUUACAGUGUACCUAUAUGGGAAAAGAGAAGACAAAUAAACAGCCUUUUUUCUUUGUUUUCUGUAGUCAGGUAGCACCGAUUUCAUUUUUUCCCCGCCUUUCUACUGCAGAGGCAGCCAAGUUUUAUAGAAAGCCCCAUUAUGCCCUGGUGAAGUACUCCCUUUAAGUUUUUUUUAUAUAAUUAAUUUUAAGUCAUCCUGUAGCCCCCUUAGAAGUUUGCUAAGGCCCCACAAUGGGCCCCGGCACCCUCAGUUGAGAACCACUGGUUUAAACUAAAUUAAACUAUAGGCAAGAUGUUUUAUGCUUGCUUACUUGCUCUUUCUCUUUUUAUGCUCUUUCCAUGCUUGAGCUUAAUUUCAGCCUGAUAGGUCAAAAAGGUUAUGCAACUCACUGGUAGAAAGCUUGGUUUUCCACCCCACAUUUCCAUAAAUGCUUGCAGGCCUCAGGUGUUGGAGCAAAGUAAGUCAAGAUGAUCUUCUGAUCCUUAGUAAAAGUCACAGGAGGUCAGUAAGUGAAAUUAUUUAGUAGUUAAACAGAACAGGUUGGUUUCCUGAUAAAGUUCAUGCAUCAAUCUGCAUUCAUCUUACUUUUGACCAUUUGUUCUUCUGCAUAACCUGGGGCUGCCUUGUAGUCACCUACCUCUUGAUGAGUUGCAUAUAUAUGAAAUGUCUUUCCUUCGAACUUUAGUUUGGUCACCUCAUUCCUGUACAAUAUGACAAAAUACUGUCAAAGUUAUUCAUAUACACAGUCAUUUGAUCUUGACUGCUAAGCAAAUGAAAAUGAUAUGCGAGAUUAAUUUCGCCUCUCACCAUUUGAGGAAAUGAAUCCUCCUGUUCCCCUGCAGCACCACAAAGCCAAAGGGGGUAAAUGCAAGAAAUGCUGCAUUCCCAGACACAUCCUGUCAUACAAAACAAACAAUUACUGUAAGGUUUCACUUUUUUUGUGAAUGUAAAAAUGAUGAUUAACAGACUUUCAGUUCAUAAACUUGUGUUGAAAUUAUUUCCUGUAUAUGAGCAGCUGAUAGAUUUUGAUACUGACUUUGCAGGGGUGUGGAUCUACUCCAUAUGUUUCUAGAGACUGAGCUUUCCUUAAGAAAUUCAUUUCAGAUGUCUCAGGACUCUGGCCUCUGUAGGAAAUGAACAGACUAAUUAAUAUUCUGUGUUUGUUCUGGGACAUAAAUUUCAUAAAAUAUAUUUAAUAUCUCCAUAAAAAAAACCCAGCGCACCUUUAAAAAGAGUGACAUACUGCAUAUGACAAGCUAAUUGAAUGUAAGCUUACAUCAGCUCGGAUUUGUGGAUCUCAGCAAUGCGGCGCUCCAGGCGCUCGGAAUGCUUUGGAAAAAACUGAAACUUAGAGCUGUAACCUUCCGGAUGCUUCCCCGGGUCAUAAUCUCCAAUCUCAGCUAAAAAAUUUGAGAAAGAAUAAAACUAAACCAGUGUCAUUUUGA